UACGGAGGAUGCAAGCGUUAUCCGGAAUGAUUGGGCGUAAAGCGUCCGCAGGUGGCAAUGUAAGUCUGCUGUUAAAGAGUGAGGCUCAACCUCAUAAGAGCAGUGGAAACUACAUAGCUAGAGUGCGUUCGGGGCAAAGGGAAUUCCUGGUGUAGCGGUGAAAUGCGUAGAGAUCAGGAAGAACACCGGUGGCGAAGGCGCUCUGCUAGGCCGCAACUGACACUGAGGGACGAAAGCUAGGGGAGCGAAUGGG
rnacentral:rRNA from 1 species